rnacentral:rRNA from 1 species
UACGGGGGGGGCAAGCGUUGUUCGGAAUUACUGGGCGUAAAGGGCUCGUAGGCGGCCAACUAAGUCAGACGUGAAAUCCCUCGGCUUAACCGGGGAACUGCGUCUGAUACUGGAUGGCUUGAGAUUGGGAGAGGGAUGCGGAAUUCCAGGUGUAGCGGUGAAAUGCGUAGAUAUCUGGAGGAACACCGGUGGCGAAGGCGGCAUUCUGGACCAUAACUGACACUGAGAGACGAAAGCCAGGGGAGCAAACGGG